GAUGAACGCUAGCGGCAGGCUUAACACAUGCAAGUCGAGGGGUAGAAGGAGCUUGCUCCUUUGAGACCGGCGCACGGGUGCGUAACGCGUAUGCAAUCUACCUUUUGCAGAGGGAUAGCCCAGAGAAAUUUGGAUUAAUACCUCAUAGUAUGUGAGGAUGGCAUCAUUUUCACAUUAAAGUCACAACGGCAAAAGAUGAGCAUGCGUCCCAUUAGCUAGUUGGUAAGGUAACGGCUUACCAAGGCUACGAUGGGUAGGGGUCCUGAGAGGGAGAUCCCCCACACUGGUACUGAGACACGGACCAGACUCUACGGGAGGCAGCAGUGAGGAAUAUUGGACAAUGGGCGCAAGCCUGAUCCAGCCAUGCCGCGUGCAGGAUGACGGUCCUAUGGAUUGUAAACUGCUUUUGUACAGGAAGAAACGGUGAGCUCUAAUACAGUUUGCUAAUGACGGUACCGUAAGAAUAAGCACCGGCUAAC
rnacentral:rRNA from 1 species